rnacentral:ribozyme from 1 species
AGAAUUAAAAGAAGAAACUGGUUUGAAUGGUACAUUUGAAAAAAUUCUCUGUAUUCGUCAAGCGCACAUGGGUAGUUCAAAAUCAGACAUGUUUUUUGUAUGUUUAGUACGUUUACAUGAAUCUUAUCUGCAUGAUGUUUUAAACAAUGGGAAGGAAAUUGAAUUGCGUCCACAAGAAGAAGAAAUAUUAAU